AGUGAACGCUGGCGGUAGGCCUAACACAUGCAAGUCGAACGGCAGCACAGUAAGAGCUUGCUCUUACGGGUGGCGAGUGGCGGACGGGUGAGGAAUACAUCGGAAUCUACUUUUUCGUGGGGGAUAACGUAGGGAAACUUACGCUAAUACCGCAUACGACCUACGGGUGAAAGCAGGGGAUCUUCGGACCUUGCGCGAUUGAAUGAGCCGAUGUCGGAUUAGCUAGUUGGCGGGGUAAAGGCCCACCAAGGCGACGAUCCGUAGCUGGUCUGAGAGGAUGAUCAGCCACACGGGAACUGAGACACGGUCCAGACUCCUACGGGAGGCAGCAGGGGGGAAUAUUGGACAAGGGGCGCAAGCCUGAUCCAGCCAUACCGCGUGGGUGAAGAAGGCCUUCGGGUUGUAAAGCCCUUUUGUUGGGAAAGAAAAGCAGCAGGUUAAUACCCCGCUGUUCUGACGGUACCCAAAGAAUAAGCACCGGCUAACUUCGU
rnacentral:rRNA from 1 species